rnacentral:rRNA from 1 species
GUCUACAGCCAUACCACCCUGAACGCACCAGAUCUUGUCUGAUCUCGGAAGCUAAGCAGGGUCGGGCCUGAUAGUACUUGGACGGGAAAUUGACAGCUUUUAAGGAGCAAGUAUUAAGGACA